rnacentral:rRNA from 1 species
ACUCGAGUGGCGAACGGGUGAGUAACACGUGGGUGAUCUGCCCUGCACUUCGGGAUAAGCCUGGGAAACUGGGUCUAAUACCGGAUAGGACCACAUUUUGGAUGGUGUGGUGGAAAGUUUUUCGGUGUGGGAUGAGCUCGCGGCCUAUCAGCUUGUUGGUAGGGUAAUGGCCUACCAAGGCGUCGACGGGUAGCCGGCCUGAGAGGGUGUACGGCCACAUUGGGACUGAGAUACGGCCCAG